rnacentral:rRNA from 1 species
GGCUAAUGCCCGAUAACAUAUAUAACCGCAUGGUUCGGGACUGUAAGAUGGUUUUCCUCUCACUUAUCCAUGGAGCCCCGCCGUAUUAUCUGGUUUGUAAGGUAACGGCUUACACCAGCGACAAUACGUAUCCGACCUGAGAGGGUGAUCGGCCACACUGGAACUGAGACACACUCCUAACUCCUACAGGAGGGGGCAAUAUGGAAUCUUCCGCACUGGGCUAAAGCCUGACAGAGCACCGCCCCGUGAGUGAUGAAGGGUUUCGGCUCCUUAACUCUGUUAUGAAGGAAAAAAAGAUGUGUACCUUACUGUGCACCUCUUGACGGUGCAUAAUCACAAACCCACUCCUAACUACCUGCCACCGUCCUCGGUAUUAUGUAUGUGUCAAUCGUAAUCCCCGGUUAUUGGGCGCAAACCGCGCGUAUGCGGUUUCUUAUGUCUGAUGUGAAAGCCCACCCUGCAAACUUGGAGGGUCACUGGAAACUGGGAAACAUGUGUGCGGAGGAGAAAAGUGGGUUUUAUGUGUAUAUGUGUAAUGCGCAGAGAUAUGGAGGAACACCAAUGUGGAAAGCGACAUUCUGGUCUGUGCCUGAGACUGAUGUGCGAAAGAGCGUGGGAUCAAACAAGAUUAUAUACCCCGGUAUUCCACACGAUGUACACUGAGAGCUAAGUGUUUUGGGGUUUCCCCCCCUUAGUGCUGCGCUAACUCAUUAACACUCCACCUGGGGAGUACGACCGCACGUUGAGACUCUCACGAGUUGACGGGGACCCGCACAAACGGUGGAGCUUGUGCGUUUAAUUCGCAAACAACGCGUAACAAACUCU